GAUGAACGCUGGCGGCGUGCCUAAUACAUGCAAGUCGAACGAACAGAUCAGGCGUUUGCUCCUUUGACGUUAGCGGCACGCGGGUGUGUCACAUGUGUAUAAUCCACCUGUAUGACUGGGAUAUCUUCGAGACAGCGGAGCUAAUACCGUAUAACAUCUUGCAGCACAGGGUUCAAUAGUGAAAGGCGGCUUUGCUGUCACUUAUCGCUGCAUCUGCGCCGUAUUAUCUAGUUGUUACGGUAAAGGCUUACGACGGCGACGAUGCGUGGCCGAACUGACAGGGUGAUCGGCGGCAUGGGAGCGGAGACGCGGUCCUGACUCCUAAGAGACGCAGCAGUAGCGAAGCGGCGGCAAUGGGCGAGAACCUGACGGAGCGACGCCGCGUGAGUUAUGAAGAUCCUCGGUUCGUAAAGAUCUGUUUUCGGUGAAGAACAGCUUUGUAAGUUACUGAGCCCAGCGUGACGGUACCGGGUCAGAAAGCCACGGCUAACUACGUG
rnacentral:rRNA from 1 species